rnacentral:tRNA from 1 species
UGUAGCUCAGUGGUAGAGUACGUGCCUAGUAUGCAUUAGGCCCUGGGUUUGACCCCCAGCA